AUGUAUAUAUAAAUAUAUAUAUAUAUAUAUAUAUAUAUGUAUGCAGGUCUUGGAGUGUUCGGGUCUUUUCCCGUGUAAGAUUGAGAGCAUCUUGGCAGCGUUUCGAUGAGGUCCUACUCGCCAUCUCCAGGCUGGUGCUUUCGGCUUCGUGCUUGUGCGAGCA